rnacentral:rRNA from 1 species
AGCAGCCGCGGUAAUUCCAGCUCCAAUAGCGUAUAUUAAAGUUGUUGCAGUUAAAAAGCUCGUAGUUGAAUUUCGGAAUCUGUCCGUUGGUCGGGCUUAAUUGUCCGUACUAAUGUGAUGGGUUCUUACCUUCUGAAUAACCAGCAUGCCAUUAAUUUAGUGUGUUGGGGAAGCAGGACUAUUACCUUGAAAAAAUUAGAGUGCUCAAAGCAGGCUAGUGCCUGAAUACAUUAGCAUGGAAUAAUAAAAUAGGACGGCAUGGUUCUAUUUUGUUGGUUUCUAGGAUCACCGUAAUGAUUAAUAGGGAUAGUUGGGGGCAUUAGUAUUCAAUUGUCAGAGGUGAAAUUCUUGGAUUUAUUGAAGACUAACUUCUGCGAAAGCAUUUGCCAAGGAUGUUUUCAUUAAUCAAGAACGAAAGUUAGGGGAUCGAAGACGAUCAGAUACCGUCGUAGUCUUAACCAUAAACUAUGCCGACUAGGGAUCGGACGAUGUUAAUUUAUAAUGACUCGUUCGGCGCCUU